UGCGUCACGCAAGUGGGCCGAGGGUCGACUCCUGUGACGAAGGGGCUUCGAGGCACUGUCCCGCCCCGGAAAGUGGCAA
rfam:Amycolicicoccus subflavus DQS3-9A1, complete genome.